UUUUUUAUUCUUUUAUUCAAGCGACAAUGGUCUCCCUCUUCCUCCCGUGCGAGCUUCUCUUCUUCCAUGACCUCCUUUCUUCCUCAAUCAAGAAAACUGCUAGCUCAUAUGGAAAAGAAAUAAAUAAUACAACUCAAACAACUUAUUUAUAUAUGCAAGAUGUCAUCUAUGGAAGUAAGAGGCAAAUGAACAAACCCCCAAGUUGUAGUCUAAGAUGAGCCAUGCACAUUCUAAUAUUAGCUCUGUGACUUUGCUUUAGGAAAUGCAGCAGAACUGAUAGAAAGACAUUAGAAUUUGGAAGGACAUCUGCGGUGGAGCCCAGAGAAAAGCACUAUGCAACAAUAUUCUGGUUACAUGGGCUCAUAUUGAUAGGUCCCAAUCAGAGUGAACAUAAACAACAGAGUUAGCAAUUCUCAAUUCUCUUUGGGUGUACUAAUUAAUCAUUACUUGUCUAACAAUGUACAAGUAAUCAGUGAACUCUAUAUGGGGUGUGCUUAGUUUUUGGUCUUAACCAUUUUGUGAACUCUGUAAGACCAACUAGUGUAGUAAUCUAUGAACAAAUUAAAUCAGAUACUUAAGUGGGGUGUUCUUAUUAAGAUUUCGAUGAGUGAGUUUAUAAUUAUAGAUUCCUCUCACAACAAAGGAUUUGGCUGCAACAACGCCAUUCAUGUUGCUCAAAUAAGUAAUGGGCCUCAACAAUGAUGCUGACUUGGCUGCUCUACAAGUUGUACAAAAUGGAAAUCCAAUUGAGAGAAAGAACUAGUUCACUAACAUUGAGCCAUUGUUGGAAGUCAAAAGCUUCAAAUGUAUUUGAAUUGUUUUUGAUCUAGCGUGGUUCUUGUUCUUACUGGGUGCUCUGCGGAAUGUGAUAGCAACUUUUAUUCAUGUUUCUCUAGUUCUAAAGGAUACAAUUUAGAGCCCAUGGCAAGACGGGUAAGUUUUUGUGUUGGUUCUGAAUCCGUGUAGUUUAAUGUGUACUAAAUGCCUCCUUAUGAUCUAAGUGCACAAAAGUAUUUUGUGAUUGCUUGUUGUGCUAUUUACAGUUUUACAAGAAUUAAUGCAGAAAAAGACGUGUCUUUUGAUAGAGAAAAAGAAAAUUUACAUUGAUGGAAAUUUCAAUGAUAGUGUAGAGUUUCUAAUUUCCAGAACUCAAUUACAUGAAGUGGCUCUUGUUCGCAUAUGGAGAGCAAAUCGAAGAUGAUUUGAAUAUUUUUAUUAAGUUUGUAUAAUUAUUAGUUCAUAUGUUUUUUUUAUUUUGUGUUAUAUAAUGGUUAGAUAUGAAAUUUGAGAUUA